AUCCCAGUCCUCCGUUGCUAAUUCAGAUCGUCAUUUUACAACUUACGUUAUUACAUCACAUCUGAAAAAUGUCACAGUGCUUUUUAAUUGCAAAAUUAUUUGAUAAAGUUUCAGUGUAUUUUUAAGUCUAUGUGCGUCUGCACUAUAUGUGUGUGCGUUUGUAUGUGAUAAAGAGCGGGAGAAUGAGAGUAUGCGACAAUAAAACAUUUAUGACAAUAAAGCAUGGAAAAGGUUUUUCAUUUUUUUCCUCUUGUUUGUUAUAUAAUUUGCUUGAUUAAUUUCUUUGUGGGGUUUUGUUCUUUUGCGGUUUUUAGGCUCUAAGGACCUUUGAGAUAACUGAAAUCGUUUGGCGAAGUGAUAUGGAACUGUAAUGCGGUCAAAUCCUCAAGAUGCCUGGAACUACUGCCUUGAACAGCUGUAGUAUAAACAGGUGAAAAUCCGGGGCAAUGGAUGAAACGGUGGAUGAUCAGCCUGGAAGGCCGCAUAAUCUGCGAGGGUGUGCAGCCAACUUUUCUCACUGGACUUGCUGCAUUGUUCUCUCUGUAUUAUAUCUUUAAUUUGCAGUACCAGGAGGAAGCAGCAUCCACACUGGAAUUCCUUCAAAGUGAACUCAGUGCAGGAUUCCUUGUUUACAUCCGAAUGCCAACACAGUAUUGGCCGAAGCUGAACACGUGAGCAGACAUACAUGCAUGUGAUGUUGACACAGGAAAAAUAUCUUAAUUUGUGUUCCGAAGAUGAACAAAGGUCUUACGGACGUUUUGUUGGAAUAAAUCCGGAAAAGGGGACCAAGGCUGCACGGGGAAAAGUUACAUCCAAAAAAACUGGGAAAAAAGUGCAAAAGAAAACCAUAACUGUCAACACCAAAGUGUCAAACCUCUUAAAGAGACUUAUGGACUUUGAGUGGGACUUCAUUUAAAAAGUGUAGUUGACACACCCCACACCCAUGCAGGUUGGUUUCUGAAAAAUAUGCUGGCCUGGUGAGUUAUACUUUGUUUUACCAAGUUAUUUAGGUAUUAAAAAUGCUGAUGCUUUGUUAAAGCCUGUUUGAGUGUUUAUUUAUUUAUUUAUUUAUUUGGAGUAAUGUUUGGUGAAGCCUGAUUUGAUUUGUAUUUUAUAUACAGGUAGAUUGUCUAUAUAUUGUUUGUUUUUGUUUGUAUUUUUGCU